CCGCGAGGCCAUUGGCGCCGAGCGCAGCCCCGCGAGCCCCCGGGGGAGAGGCCGGGGGAACGCGCCCCGACGGGCGAGCGGGGACCGGAGCUGGGGGAUUAGGGCAGCCGGUAGCGAGGCCGAACCACUCUCUCCACGAUGCCCUAUGUAAACCAGAGCGUCAACUGCUGACGAAUCAGCUCCAAACGCCCCCAAAGUGAGCAAACUCCCGCGCGCUUGGCGUUUGCUGGGCUGAAACGCCGCCUUAACCGAGCGCGGGUUGCGAGUCCUUGAGCUGAGAGCGCGGCACGUCGGCCCUCCUCAGAAGGUCAAGCUGCUGAUCCUCGAAGUCGUACGGCAGGGCCAGAGUCCACUUUUGCCCCUUCCGAAACGGCAGUUUUAACAGACGUCGGGGCCCCCAGGAGACGUAGGUGCAAUCACAUGCGAAUGUAGCAGAGGAAGAAAGGCGCAUUGAUGUUGUUCUGGGUUCCACGUUAUCUUCACCAUAUGUGAAGAUAAACCGGAAGAAACAAAGGAAAGGCGAAGGCACGUGGUGAGAAGCAGCUGGGCUUGGGCAGAAGAUUCACCUGCCCUUGGCCGUCAGCGCGUGCUUUGAUGUAAGAAGUGAAGAGGCUGCGCGGACCCAGGCUUUCAGAGAAAAUGAGGGCAUUAGAACUCCAGGAAUCUUCACUGCUUCACACUGGAUGAAAACAAGCGUGUGACAGUCACAAGGCUGUGGGAGGACCGGUAUGGACCGCAUACAACCGGCCGGCUGACUGUUCUUCACGCUCAAGGACAGCACAUAAAAUUUUGGGCACGGGACAGCCCAGCGGCGCUUCUGGGAACUCGCACGCUUCUUGUAAAGAUCCUAAACCUGAUAACUGAGCAGAAAAUCAAUCAUUUUCUCUCCGCUUUCAUGGGGAAGCCUUGAAGUGAGAUUAUGUUUCCUCUGCAAAAUUAUUUGAUCAGGAUAUGUUUUAAUGAAAGGAGCUAUAAAGCUAAUUUUUGACACAGAAGCACCUGUGGAAAUUUGGAAAAUUGCAAUCAUUUUGUCUCAGUCAAGAUCAGUGGUUUACUUUAACUCAAGUGGCACACAUCCAUCUUUAACUCAAGUGAAAGUCUUAUCUCCAGAAAUGUUACCUCUUAGAUGUUCUGUUCAUGAAUCUUCCACUUUAAGGCGGAUGUAUCCUUCAAUGCCUUGCCCGUCUUAUACGAAGGUUGUGGUACAGAAAUGUGUUUGGGCUUUGUCCCCCCGUCCCUGGCACAGAACUCCUAAACCCCUUGGAAUUUCCCGAGUGACUGAAGUGUCCUUCAUUAUUCAUAAACUGGGACAGAAUCUCCUCUGCUCAGGACCUUCUGGACCUCACUCUCGUGUACCUCUUCAUCUGACUGUCCACCAGAAUCCUUUAGAUAUGCCUUAUAAUAAAUUGAUAAAUGAAAAUCAA